rnacentral:rRNA from 1 species
UACGUAGGGGGCAAGCGUUGUCCGGAAUCAUUGGGCGUAAAGCGCGUGUAGGCGGCCAGGUAGGUCCGUUGUGAAAACUCGAGGCUCAACCUCGAGACGUCGAUGGAAACCAUCUGGCUAGAGUCCGGAAGAGGAGAGUGGAAUUCCUGGUGUAGCGGUGAAAUGCGCAGAUAUCAGGAAGAACACCCGUGGCGAAGGCGGCUCUCUGGGACGGUACUGACGCUGAGACGCGAAAGCGUGGGGAGCGAACAGG